rnacentral:rRNA from 2 species
UGCGAAUGGCUCAUUAAAUCAGUUAUCGUCUAUUUGAUAGUACCUUACUACUUGGAUAACCGUGGUAAUUCUAGAGCUAAUACAUGCUGAAAACCCCGACUUCGGAAGGGAUGUAUUUAUUAGAUUCAAAGCCAAUGCCCUCCGGGGCUCCCUGGUGAUUCAUGAUAACUUCUCGAAUCGCAUGGCCUUGCGCCGGCGAUGGUUCAUUCAAAUUUCUGCCCUAUCAACUUUCGACGGCUGGGUCUUGGCCAGCCAUGGUGACAACGGGUAACGGAGGGUUAGGGCUCGACCCCGGAGAAGGAGCCUGAGAAACGGCUCUACAUCUAAGGAAGGCAGCAGGCGCGCAAAUUACCCAAUCCCGACGCGGGGAGGUAGUGACAAUAAAUACUGAUACAGGGCUCUUUUGGGUCUUGUAAUUGGAAUGAGUACAGUUUAAUUCCCUUAACGAGGAACAAUUGGAGGGCAAGUCUGGUGCCAGCAGCCGCGGUAAUUCCAGCUCCAAUAGCGUAUAUUAAAGUUGUUGCAGUUAAAAAGCUCGUAGUUGAACCUUGGGCCUGGCCGGCCGGUCCGCCUCACCGCGUGCACUGGCGCGGCCGGGCCUUUCCCUCUGGGGAGCCGCAUGCCCUUCACUGGGCGUGUCGGGGAACCAGGACGUUUACUUUGAAAAAAUUAGAGUGUUCAAAGCAGGCUUAUGCUCGGAUACAUUAGCAUGGAAUAAUGGAAUAGGACGUGCGGUUCUAUUUUGUUGGUUUCUAGGACCGCCGUAAUGAUUAAUAGGGACAGUCGGGGGCAUCAGUAUUCAAUUGUCAGAGGUGAAAUUCUUGGAUUUAUUGAAGACUAACUACUGCGAAAGCAUUUGCCAAGGAUGUUUUCAUUAAUCAGGAACGAAAGUUAGGGGAUCGAAGACGAUCAGAUACCGUCGUAGUCUUAACCAUAAACUAUGCCGACUAGGGAUCGGACGCAGUUGUCUUUUGACGCGUUCGGCACCUUACACGAAAGUACAAG